rnacentral:rRNA from 1 species
AGAGUUUGAUCAUGGCUCAGAUUGAACGCUGGCGGCAGGCUUAACACAUGCAAGUCGGGCGGAGAGAGGUAGCUUGCUACUGAUCUUAGCGGCGGACGGGUGAGUAAUGCUUAGGAAUCUGCCUAUUAGUGGGGGACAACAUUUCGAAAGGAAUGCUAAUACCGCAUACGUCCUACGGGAGAAAGCAGGGGAUCUUCGGACCUUGCGCUAAUAGAUGAGCCUAAGUCGGAUUAGCUAGUUGGUGGGGUAAAGGCCUACCAAGGCGACGAUCUGUAGCGGGUCUGAGAGGAUGAUCCGCCACACUGGGACUGAGACACGGCCCAGACUCCUACGGGAGGCAGCAGUGGGGAAUAUUGGACAAUGGGCGCAAGCCUGAUCCAGCCAUGCCGCGUGUGUGGAGAAGGCCUUAUGGUUGUAAAGCACUUUAAGCGAGGAGGAGGCUACUUUAGUUAAUACCUAGAGAUAGUGGACGUUAUUCGCAGAAUAAGCACCGGCUAACUCUGUGCCAGCAGCCGCGGUAAUACAGAGGGUGCAAGCGUUAAUCGGAUUUACUGGGCGUAAAGCGCGCGUAGGCGGCUAAUUAAGUCAAAUGUGAAAUCCCCGAGCUUAACUUGGGAAUUGCAUUCGAUACUGGUUAGCUAGAGUGUGGAGGGGAUGGUAGAAUUCCAGGUGUAGCGGUGAAAUGCGUAGAGAUCUGGAGGAAUACCGAUGGCGAAGGCAGCCAUCUGGCCUAACACUGACGCUGAGGUGCGAAAGCAUGGGGAGCAAACAGGAUUAGAUACCCUGGUAGUCC